CCUACGGGAGGCAGCAGUGGGGAAUAUUGCACAAUGGGGGGAACCCUGAUGCAGCGACGCCGCGUGAGCGAUGAAGUAUUUCGGUAUGUAAAGCUCUAUCAGCAGGGAAGCAAAUGACGGUACCUGACUAAGACGCCCCGGCUAACUACGUGCCAGCAGCCGAGGUAAUACGUAGGGGGCAAGCGUUAUCCGGAUUUACUGGGUGUAAAGGGGGCGUAGACGGCUGUGCAAGCCAGCUGUGAAAGCCCGGGGGUCAACCCCCGGACUGCAUUUGGAACUGGGUGGCUGGAGUGUCGGAGAGGCAGGCGGAAUGCCUAGUGUAGCGGUGAAAUGCGUAGAUAUUAGGAGGAACACCAGUGGCGAAGGCGGCCUGCUGGACGAUGACUGACGUUGAGGCUCGAAAGCGUGGGGAGCAAACAGGAUUAGAUACCCCUGUAGUC
rnacentral:rRNA from 1 species